CAGCCGCCGCGGUAAUACAGAGGAUGCAAGCGUUAUCCGGAAUGAUUGGGCGUAAAGCGUCUAUAGGUGGCUUUUCAAGUCCGCCGUCAAAUCCCAGGGCUCAACCCUGGACAGGCGGUGGAAACUACCAAGCUGGAGUACGGUAGGGGCAGAGGGAAUUUCCGGUGGAGCAGUGAAAUGUGUUGAGAUCGGAAAGAGCACCAACGGCGAAAGCACUCUGCUGGGCCGACACUGACACUGAGAGACGAAAGCUAGGGGAGCAAAUGGGAUUAGAUACCCGUGUAGUCCCUGUCUCUUAUAC
rnacentral:rRNA from 1 species